CACUAUGCUCAGCCCUAAAAUUUGAUAGGCCAACUACGCCCCCUAUCCGCCCGGGUACUACGAGCAUCAGCUUAAAACCCAAAGGACUUGGCGGUGCUUCACAUCCGUCUAGAGGAGCCUGUUCUAGAACCGAUAACCCCCGUUAAACCUCACCCUCCCUUGUUAAUACCGCCUAUAUACCGCCGUCGUCAGCCUACCCUGUGAAGGACUAGAAGUGAGCAAGAUUGGUAAGACCCAAAACGUCAGGUCGAGGUGUAGUGUAUGAGAGGGGAAGAAAUGGGCUACAUUUCCUAAAUCAGGAAAUACGAAUAAUGAACUGAAAUAAGCAUUAGAAGGUGGAUUUAGCAGUAAGCAGUAAAACAGAGUGUUCUGCUGAAAUUUGGCAAUAAAGCACGCACAUAUCGCCCGUCACUCUCCCCGAGCUAAUACAAAAGCAAAUACCUAAAAAACUACAUCUGCAAAGGGGAGGCAAGUCGUAA
rnacentral:rRNA from 1 species